rnacentral:rRNA from 1 species
GUGGGGAAUAUUGGACAAUGGGCGAAAGCCUGAUCCAGCAAUGCCGCGUGAGUGAUGAAGGCCUUAGGGUUGUAAAGCUCUUUUACCCGGGAUGAUAAUGACAGUACCGGGAGAAUAAGCUCCGGCUAACUCCGUGCCAGCAGCCGCGGUAAUACGGAGGGAGCUAGCGUUGUUCGGAAUUACUGGGCGUAAAGUGCACGUAGGCGGCUUUGUAAGUUAGAGGUGAAAGCCUGGAGCUUAACUCCAGAACUGCCUUUAAGACUGCAUCGCUUGAAUCCAGGAGAGGUGAGUGGAAUUCCGAGUGUAGAGGUGAAAUUCGUAGAUAUUCGGAAGAACACCAGUGGCGAAGGCGGCUCACUGGACUGGUAUUGACGCUGAGGUGCGAAAGCGUGGGGAGCAAACAGGAUUAGAAACCCCGGUAGUCC